rnacentral:lncRNA from 1 species
ACAUUAGUUUUGUUUGUCUUCCAGGCCUGUACGCCGGCUCCAGCACGACACACAAUGGAGCCCCACUUGAGUUGCUCUCUUCUGGACUUGACCUGCCCCCCAGGCAGCCCCGCCUGGACCGCGACAUUGGCAGCCCCCACCAUCUCUCCCCGUUGUCUGGCCUCGAGAACACCCGGGAAGGGUUGUCUGGAGCUUUGCUGUCUACAGGGAUCAAUCUGCUGAAGGCCGCUACAUCUCCUCCACCAACACUAGAGAAGCAACAGAACUCCUCUUCCAGCCAGCAACACCUCCACACUCACCAUAAACCCUACACCACCUUCCACAACCUGCCUUCAAGUGAGGAUUACCGUGGCAACUUUCAGAGCUGCUUCCAUUUUGGCGACGGCUACAAAAUGGACCAGUCCAUCAGUGGUGGCCAUCAACCUGCAGAGUCCCACAGCUUCAACACAAACCCACACAACGGCUUCCACAUGAGCUGUUCCACCAGCACCACUUCCACAGGUUUCAGCUUGGUGUCGGACAUCAUAGGAUCAGGUUGCCAGUUCUCACCGGGCA